rnacentral:misc_RNA from 1 species
GAUGAAGAACGUAGUGAAAUGCGAUACGUAAUGUGAAUUGCAGAAUUCAGUGAAUCAUCGAGUCUUUGAACGCACAUUGCGCCCCCUGGUAUUCCGGGGGGCAUGCCUGUCCGAGCGUCAUUGCUGCCCUCAAGCACGGCUUGUGUGUUGGGCCUCCGUCCUCCUCCCGGGGGACGGGCCCGAAAGGCAGCGGCGGCACCGCGUCCGGUCCUCGAGCGUAUGGGGCUUCGUCACCCGCUCUUGUAGGCCCGGCCGGCGCUUGCCGACACAUCAAUCUUUUUUCCAGGUUGACCUCGGAUCAGGUAGGGAUACCCGCUGAACUUAAGCAUAUCAAUAAACGGAGGA